rnacentral:tRNA from 1 species
GGUAGGAUAUCCAAGUGGCUAAAGGAUGCAGACUGUAAAUCUGUCGAGGUCUCCUCUUCGAGCGUUCGAAUCGCUCUUCCACCA